rnacentral:rRNA from 1 species
UACGUAGGGCGCAAGCGUUAUCCGGAAUUAUUGGGCGUAAAGAGCUCGUAGGCGGUUUGUCGCGUCUGCCGUGAAAGUCCGGGGCUCAACUCCGGAUCUGCGGUGGGUACGGGCAGACUAGAGUGAUGUAGGGGAGACUGGAAUUCCUGGGUGUAGCGGUGAAAUGCGCAGAUAUCAGGAGGAACACCGAUGGCGAAGGCAGGUCUCUGGGCAUUAACUGACGCUGAGGAGCGAAAGCAUGGGGAGCGAACAGG